rnacentral:rRNA from 1 species
UGAGGAAUAUUGGGCAAUGCCCGAAAGGGUGACCCAGCAACGCCGCGUGGAGGAUGAAGGUCGUAAGAUUGUAAACUCCUGUUAGAGGGGAAGAAUAACUAAGUUUGGAGCUUAGUAUGACUGUACCCUCAGAGAAAGCCCCGGCUAACUACGUGCCAGCAGCCGCGGUAAUACGUAGGGGGCAAGCGUUGUCCGGAUUUACUGGGUGUAAAGGGCGCGCAGGCGGAAUGGAAAGUCAGUGGUGAAAUCCUACAGCUUAACUGUAGAACUGCCUGUGAUACUUUCAUUCUUGAGUUCGGGAGAGAGAGACGGAAUUCCAGGUGUAGUGGUAAAAUACGUAGAUAUCUGGAAGAACACCAGUUGCGAAGGCGGUCUCUUGGUCCGAUACUGACGCUGAGGCGCGAAAACGUGGGGAGCAAACA